UCUAAGUAUCAACUCAUUAGUAACGCGAAACUGCGAAUGGCUCAUUAAAUCAGUUAUCGUUUAUUUGAUAGUACCUUACUACUUGGACAACCGUGGUAAUUCUAGAGCUAAUACAUGCUGAAAGCCCCGACUCCGGGAGGGGCGUGUUUAUUAGAUUCAAAGCCAACGCCCUCCGGGGCUCGCUGGUGAUUCAUGAUAACCGCACGAAUCGCACGGCCUUGCGCCGGCGAUGGUUCAUUCAAAUUUCUGCCCUAUCAACUUUCGACGGCUGGGUCUUGGCCAGCCGUGGUGACAACGGGUAACGGAGGGUUAGGGCUCGACCCCGGAGAAGGAGCCGGAGGAACGGCUACUACAUCCAAGGAAGGCAGCAGGCGCGCAAAUUGCCCAAUCCCGACGCGGGGAGGCAGUGACGAUACAUACUGAUGCAGGGCUCUUUUGGGUCUUGCAAUUGGAAUGAGUACAAUUUAAAUCCCUUAACGAGGAACAAUUGGAGGGCAAGUCUGGUGCCAGCAGCCGCGGUAAUUCCAGCUCCAAUAGCGUAUAUUAAAGUUGUUGAGGUUAAAAAGCUCGUAGUUGAACCUUGGGCCUGGCCGGCCGGUCCGCCUCACCGCGUGCACUGGUGCGGCCGGGCCUUUCCCUCUGGGGAGCCGCAUGCCCUUCGCUGGGCGUGCCGGGGAACCAGGACGUUUACUCUGAACAAAUCAGAUCGCUCAAAGAAGGCCUUCGCUCGGAUGCAUUAGCAUGGAAUAAUGGAAUAGGACGCGUGGUUCUAUUUUGUUGGUUUCUAGGACCGCCGUAAUGAUUAAUAGGGACAGUCGGGGGCAUCAGUAUUCCGUUGUCAGAGGUGAAAUUCUUGGAUUUACGGAAGACUAACUACUGCGAAAGCAUUUGCCAAGGAUGUUUUCAUUAAUCAGGAACGAAAGUUAGGGGAUCGAAGACGAUCAGAUACCGUCGUAGUCUUAACCAUAAACUAUGCCGAUUAGGGAUCGGACGGUGUUAUUCUUUGACCCGUUCGGCACCUUACGACAAAUCAAAAUGUUGGGCUCCUGGGAGAGUAUGAACGUUAACGAAAACUUAAGGAAUUGACGGAGGA
rnacentral:rRNA from 1 species